GCUAAGAAGAACCAGCUCCAGUCUGUAAAAUCGGACGGACUGCCAAUCAGAGAAUGAGAGAUGCCCAGCCUGGCCUUACAUUCUUUCAAUUAAUACAUAAACACAAAGGGAGAGAUGUUGGGAGCCAAAAAGGCCAAAGGGAUCAUGAUCAACUCAGCAUUCCACUGGAGGCUAUAUGAUCAAAUAGCAAACUGUUUAUCACUAUCACGAAUGCAGGAUGUGAGCAAACUCACACUGCGCCUGCCACCAAAAGGUUGGCUGAGGGCCUCACUCCCUGGCACGGGGCUCCUUGAAGUUAUCUACUGAGAAAUCUAGUGUCUAUUGUUCAAACGAUGCAGUCUGGCAAGCCUGCUGUGAACCAACCAGCCGACUGACAAUUACCCCACAAUCACCCCCCAUUUAUCCCUAUCUGUUUUGCCUAAUAAAUAUGGAGGGCUGUGUAAAGCUCAGGGCCCUUGUCCACUAGAGGCAAGGUGCCCCCUGACCCCUUCUUCCAAAC
rnacentral:lncRNA from 10 species